GCGCUCUAAGACUAUGCAUAUUUGGGCAUAGUUUGGGAAAGCCUCAGAAGAAAAAGAAACACGCAUUCCAAAGAAAGGUAAAAAGGUAAAUGUAUGGAAAUACUUUGCUUGGAACUCACGACUUUGUAUUCGGGACCCACGCCUUUUUACCCACAACCCACGCCUUUUUACCCACGACCCACGCCUUUUUACCCACGACCCACGCCUUUUUACCCACGCCUUUUUACCCACGACCCACGCCUUUUUACCCACGACCCACGCCUUUUUACCCACGACCCACGACAUUCUACCCACGACCCACGACUGUUAGCUAGUCCCCAUAAUAAAAGUGUACUCUUGAGGCUGAAAUUAAGUUUCUUUCGCAUGAACAAAACGGUCGGUCAUGUUUAUUAAUUUUCGCCGUGGAAAAGAUGUUUUUGAAAAUGCAUGCCUAAAGGCUAAACGAAAGCA